GCAUUGGUGGUUCAGUGGUAGAAUUCUCGCCUUCCAUGCAAGAGACCCAGGUUUGAUUCCUGGCCAAUGCA
rnacentral:tRNA from 1 species